rnacentral:rRNA from 1 species
AGUGAACGCUGGCGGUAGGCCUAACACAUGCAAGUCGAACGGCAGCACAGUAAGAGCUUGCUCUUACGGGUGGCGAGUGGCGGACGGGUGAGGAAUACAUCGGAAUCUACUUUUUCGUGGGGGAUAACGUAGGGAAACUUACGCUAAUACCACAUACGACCUACGGGUGAAAGCAGGGGAUCUUCGGACCUUUCGCGAUUGAAUGAGCCGAUGUCGGAUUAGCUAGUUGGCGGGGUAAAGGCCCACCAAGGCAACGAUCCGUAGCUGGUCUGAGAGGAUGAUCAGCCACACUGGAACUGAGACACGGUCCAGACUCCUACGGGAGGCAGCAGUGGGGAAUAUUGGACAAUGGGCGCAAGCCUGAUCCAGCAAUACCGCGUGGGUGAAGAAGGCCUUCGGGUUGUAAAGCCCUUUUGUUGGGAAAGAAAAGCAGCAGGUUAAUACCCCGCUGUUCUGACGGUACCCAAAGAAUAAGCACCGGCUAACUUCGUG